ACACACACCUUUACUGAUGUAUGUUCACUAUGGGUAUAUGAUUACUUUCUGCUGCAUGUGCAUCUACAUUUCUGUGUCUGUGUGCCUGUUACACAAAGGCUUAGGGUGUGCUCUAUCUUCACUACAGUUUUCAUGGGAUUUUUCUGGGUCCUGCCCUCAGAGGUCUCUACAGGUGUGUGUGUGUAUAUCUGCCUGCCUACAUGAUUUUUCAACAUUUCCUAAUGUCUCUAACAUCAAUUGUUAUUGUCUAGAUAACACGCAGGUGCCAUCUCCCAGAAUUAUCCAGCCCAUAAUGUCCAGAAUAGGAGCUGUUCUAGGAAAGGGGUUGGUUAUUGAAUGUAAGGCAGACCCAGGCCUUCCUGAUGAAUUUGCCCUUGUCUACUGGCUGGUAAACGGCACAUUCCCAAAUGUAGCCUCCACUGAUGGCAGAGUAUCAGAAACAGAAGAGUCAGUUUCAGAGGACGGCAGGGUGAUCCAGAGGAGUCUGGUGUUUAAGAGCGUGACUGCAGAGGACUUCAGGUCCACCUUUACCUGUGUGAUAAACAGCCCAGCUGGGCUUGACCAAAGGACUUUCACACUGGCCAAUCACAAGGCUCUAUUUCCCCCUCCUUCACCCACUCCCAAAACCGAGGAGAGAACAAUGAGAAAAGACACAGGAAAAGGGAUCACAGGAAAAGGGAUCACAGGAAAAAGGAUCACAGGAAAAAGGAUCACAGCAAAACACACUAGCAAGAAAUGA
rnacentral:lncRNA from 1 species